rnacentral:rRNA from 1 species
GACGAACGCUGGCGGCGUGCUUAACACAUGCAAGUCGAACGGAAAGGCCCUGCUUUUGUGGGGUGCUCGAGUGGCGAACGGGUGAGUAACACGUGAGUAACCUGCCCUUGACUUUGGGAUAACUUCAGGAAACUGGGGCUAAUACCGGAUAGGAGCUCCUGCUGCAUGGUGGGGGUUGGAAAGUUUCGGCGGUUGGGGAUGGACUCGCGGCUUAUCAGCUUGUUGGUGGGGUAGUGGCUUACCAAGGCUUUGACGGGUAGCCGGCCUGAGAGGGUGACCGGCCACCUUGGGACCGAGGUUCGGCCCCGACUCCUUCGGGAGGCAGCAGUGGGGGAUAUUGCCCCAUGGGCGGAAGCCCUAUGCAGCCACGCCGCGUGCCGGAUGACGGCCUUCGGGCUGUAAACCGCUUUCGGCUGUGACGAAGCGUGAGUUACGGUAAUUGGUAAAGAAGCACCGGCUAACUACGUG